rnacentral:rRNA from 1 species
AGUGGGGAAUCUUAGACAAUGGGGGCAACCCUGAUCUAGCCAUGCCGCGUGAUCGAUGAAGGCCUUAGGGUUGUAAAGAUCUUUCAGUGGGGAAGAUAAUGACGGUACCCACAGAAGAAGCCCCGGCUAACUCCGUGCCAGCAGCCGCGGUAAUACGGAGGUGGCUAGCGCUGUUCGGAAUUACUGGGCGUAAAGCGCACGUAGGCGGAUCGGAAAGUUGGGGGUGAAAUCCCGGGGCUCAACCCCGGAACUGCCUUCAAAACUCCCGGUCUUGAGUUCGAGAGGUGAGUGGAAUUCCGAGUGUAGAGGUGAAAUUCGUAGAUAUUCGGAGGAACACCAGUGGCGAAGGCGGCUCACUGGCUCGACACUGACGCUGAGGUGCGAAAGUGAGGGGAGCAAACAGGAUUAGAUACCCUGGUAGUCCACACCGUAAACGAUGAAUGCCAGUCGUCGGCAAGCAUGCUUGUCGGUGACACACCUAACGGAUUAAGCAUUCCGCCUGGGGAGUACGGCCGCAAGGUUA